CCUCUUGAUGAAGAAGAUCUGGUCUCCUACAUCCUUGCCGGCCUCGACUACGACUACAACCCACUUGUUUCCUCUGUGGCAACACGAGU
rnacentral:snoRNA from 1 species